rnacentral:tRNA from 1 species
AUUAUGUUAGUUUAAAUAAAAUUUCAUUUUGUGAAGAUGAAGAUUCUACAUAGAAUAUAAUA